UGCCAGCAGCCGCGGUAAUACGGAGGGUGCAAGCGUUGUUCGGAAUUAUUGGGCAUAAAGCGCACGUAGGCGGUCCGUUAAGUUAGGCGUGAAAUCCCCCGGCUCAACCGGGGAACUGCGUUUGAUACUGGCGGACUUGAGGAUGGUAGGGGUGAGUGGAACUCCAGGUGGAGCGGUGAAAUGCGUAGAUAUCUGGAGGAACACCGGUGGCGAAAGCGGCUCACUGGACCAUAACUGACGCUGAGGUGCGAAAGCUAGGGUAGCAAACGGGAUUAGAUA
rnacentral:rRNA from 1 species